AAGAUUACGUUCAUUUGUCAAUUGUGAACGAUAAACAAAGAUUGUCGAAAUUUACUUAGAGUACAUAGACAAAUUAUAGGAGUGUUCAACGUGUUUACACACAGAACAAAUAGAAGCAAGGUUUGUCAAUGGAAAUGGCAAACUCACAGUGAUUUAAGUUUUGAUAAACCAUGAAACAUUCCAUCACCAAUUUCAGAAAAAUAUACACUGUGCAGAAGGGCCACUCUUCAGUUAAUUUGUCGUGAUUCUUUAUGUGUAUGCUCCAGUUUAUAGCCAUCGUCCUGGACAGUCAAUUGUUGUCAGUGGUAUAUAAUAUAAUAUUGGAGUUCGUGAUGUAGGGACAUAAAACAUCUUUUUUAUUCAAUCUGUAUUAUCCGAUACACAUCUUAUACAUUAUGAAAUAUCCAAAAGUGAAAUAUCCAUCACUUUUAAAAUUUGAUUAUCUUGUCAAGACAACAAGAUAAAUGUCAGAAAGAUUCGUGUUUUUUUUAUUUAUUUCAUUAUCUAAAAACUACCUAAUAAUCUAACUCCUGUUCAGAUUUUCUUUUAUUCAGUUUUCAUAUUCUUAGUUUGCCUUCCCCAUUAUUAAAGUUGCGUAGGUUUUAUUGUCUUCAUGCAGUUAAACAGAUCACCGAUAAUUGUUUGUAAUCUAAAAUAGCGAGAGUGAAUUACUUCGUGUACUACUAAUUAUCGUUAACGUAGGUAUUGAAUAUUGUUUUUUAAAAA